rnacentral:rRNA from 1 species
AAAAAUGCUCCACUUAAUAAUCAGUUACUGUCUUCAACAAUUCAGAAUGAUAUUACUGAGUGCUUUGCAGAAGAAGUAUUGAGUUGUAUUUUUAAGGAGCUUGACAAUGGCGUGUUCAGCUUAUUAGUUGAUGAAUGUCGUGAUGUUUCCGACAAAGAGCAAAUGGCAGUGGUUCUACGCUAUGUUGAUACAUGUGGACUAUCAAAUGAGAGGUUUGUUGGUGUUCUUCAUGUGGAGGAAACAACAUUUGCUUAUCUCAAGUCUAAAAUUGAUUUUAUAAUUACAAAGCUUGGCUUGAGUCUACAACAAGUGAGAGGACAAGAUUUCUUUGAUAUCAUAUCAUUAUUGGUGAAUGUCGUUGGAUCAUCUUGCAAGAGAAAGGAUAAACUUAGAGAGAACCAUCGAGAAGAAGACAUGGACAUUGUAAAUGCUAUAGCAGAUGUGGAAUAUGUUAAGCGAGAGCUAGAUAAGCUUAGAUCUCAACAUGGAUGGAAUUCUCUCCUAAGCAAGGUAUGUUCUUUUUGCGACAAGAAUUAUAUCUUAGUUGUGGACAUGGAAAUGGAGUACGUAAAUCCAAAGAAGCCAAGGUAGAGGACUGGCAUUAAUAAUGAGCAUCAUUAUAGAGUUGAUUGUUUUUUUGUUGUCUUGGAUUUAUUAGCAGAACAACUAAAUCGCAGAUUCAAUGAGGUAAACAAUGAGUUGCUAUGUUGU